rnacentral:misc_RNA from 1 species
GCUGCUGUACCCUGUUGUGGUGGGAUACUCGCUGAUGAUCAGGGACUUGGAAAAACUAUAUCAACAAUUGCACUUAUACUCAAAGAAAGAUCUCCAUCUUCAAGACUUUCUACAGCCAUCACCAGACAAACUAAAACGGAGACAUUGAAUUUAGAUGAUGAUGAUGUUUUAUCUGAGUUUGACAUGUCAAAGCAAGGUUCGCCUUCUUGUCAAGUUGAUGAAAAUUCUGGCUUGGGCUGUAAAACUUCUUUGCAUGCAAAAGGGAGGCCAGCUGCUGGUACCCUUGUCGUUUGUCCUACCAGUGUCCUCCGUCAGUGGUCUGAGGAGUUGCACAAUAAGGUAACAAACAAAGCAAAUCUCUCUGUUCUAGUAUAUCAUGGUAGUGGUAGAACAAAGGA